UACGAAGGGGGCUAGCGUUGUUCGGAAUUACUGGGCGUAAAGCGCGCGUAGGCGGCGAUCCAUGUCAGGGGUGAAAUCCCGGGGCUCAACCCCGGAAUUGCCUUUGAAACGGGAUCGCUAGAGUCCGAGAGAGGAUGGCGGAAUUCCUAGUGUAGAGGUGAAAUUCGUAGAUAUUAGGAAGAACACCGGUGGCGAAGGCGGCCAUCUGGCUCGGUACUGACGCUCAGGCGCGAAAGCGUGGGGAGCAAACAGG
rnacentral:rRNA from 1 species